UACAGAAUGGGUCAAAAAAUGCACAAAGGUUAAUCACAUCAUGCUGCAUUGCACUGUAACAGAACAAUUUAUCUGAUGCAAGCAUCAAUCAUGAGAAUAAGAAAGGAGGUUAGGUCCAAAGAGAAGGCAAUGUAAGAAAUGAUUGCUGAAUUCCUGAGGAUUGGGAUGAAUCUUUUCUAUUCUUAAUAACUGUCCAAACAUCAUUUGAGGAUCCCUUCCUAAGAAAAGAAGAAUUUGCCUAUUCAGA